rnacentral:lncRNA from 1 species
AGCCGGGCGCGUCAUCCUCCGGGGGCGGGGCCCGGGCCGCAUUGUCUCGUCUAGGGCCGGCUGGACGCCCCAGAGGCCGGACCUGGGCAACCCCAGCCUGGAGGUGCCGGGGCCGGAGCUCCCAGAGGGCUGGGUGCGAGGCCUAGGCGGGGUCAGGUUCGGGUUCCUAGGCCAUAGCGGAGCUGCAGCCCAGGCGGCCGGAGCGGAACCCAGCCCCGCUCCGAGUGCCACGUCUCCAGGAACCCCCUCCUUACUCUUGGACAACACUCCGCCCCCGCCCGGGCCUCCGUCCCCCAAACCGCCCUCAUUUGUGCAGCGCCAGAUCCUUCGGACACAUCCCUAGGUGUCUCCAUCCUCAUUCGGUCCAUCCAACUCCCAGACCUCACGUCAACCGGCUGCACCCCACUUUCCAGCCUGCGCCCCAGAUCUGCAGCCUUCGCCCCUAGAUACACCCGCCUGGUGAUGAGGCGCUCCUCGCGUUCCUUCCGUCUCCAGUGCACCGGCUUUCCCUCGUCCUCUGCGCAGUCCAUCUCAGCUCAUCUCUCCAAUUCAAUGCCAUCAUCUCUCCUCACCAUCUCUCGGUGCCCUGGAAUGUUUGCUGUCAGAUGUCCCCUGUGAAACCCACAAACGCUUGCGAUUUGGCCUCCUUGUUUUAUUUUGUGUAGUCCUACAACGUCUUGUUACUACCCCCUAUUACAACACUUAUAACUCAGUA